ACGUGGAGCAUUUCCCCAUGUGCUUGUUGCCCAUGUGUAUGUCUUCCUUGGAGAAAUUUCUGAUUUCUGUUCGUGUCUUCUGCCCAUUUCAUGAUGGGAUUUUUUGUUUCUUGGCUGUUGCAUUUAAUAAGUUCUUUAUAGAUCUUGGAUACUAGCCCUUUAUCUGAUAUGUCAUUUGCAAAUAUCUUCUCCCAUUCUGUAGGUUGUCUUUUAGUUUUGCUGACUAUUUCUUUUGCUGUGCAGAAACUUUUAUCCUGAUUAAGUGCCAAUAGUUCAUUUUUGCUGUUGUUUCCCUUGCCUUCAUAGAUAUAUCUUGCAAGAAGUUGCUGUGGCCAAGUUCAGAAAGGGUGUUGCCUGUGCUCUCCUCUAGGAUUUUGAUGGAUUCUUGUCUCACAUUUAGAUCUUUCAUCCAUUUUGAGUGUAUCUGUGUGUCUGCUAUAAGAGAAUGGUCCAGUUUCAUUUUUCUGCCCAUAGCUGUCCAAUUUUCCCAAUACCAUUUAUUGAAUAGACUGUGCUUUGUCCAGUGGAUAUUCUUUCCUGCUUUGUCAAAGAUGAGUUCACCAUAGAUUUGAGGGCCCAUUUCUGGAUUCUCUAUUCUGUUCCUUUGAUCUAUGUCUUUGUUUUUGUGCCAGUACCACACUGUCUUGAUAAUCACAGCUUUCAAUACAGCAUUGUGAUGCCCUGGGCUCUGGUUUUCUUUUUCAAUAUUCCCCUGGCUAUUUGGGGUCUUUUCUGAUUCCACACAAACCUUAAGAUGAUUUGUUCCAACUCUCCGAAGAAAGUCCAUGGUAUUUUGAUAGGGAUUGCAUUAAACGUGUAAAUUGCCAUGGGUAGCAUAGACAUUUUUGUAAUAUUUAUUCUUCCAAUCCAUGAGCAUGGAAUGUUUUUCCAUCUCUAUGUCUUCUUCAGUUUCUUUCAGAAGUAUUCUGUAGCUUUUAGGGUAUAGAUCCUUUACCUUUUUGGUUAGGUUUAUUCCUAGGUAUCUUAUGGUUUUGGGUGCAGUUGUAAAUAGGAUUGACUUCUUAAUUUCUCUUUCUUCAGUCUCAUUUUCAGGGUAGAGAAAUGCCACAGAUUUAUGUGCAUUCAUUUUGUAUCCUGCCACACAGCUGAAUUGCUGUAUGAGUUCUAGCAUCUUGGGGUAGAGUCUUUUGGGUUUUCUAUGAACAGUAUCAUGUCAUCUGCGAAGAAGGAGAGUUUGAAUUCUUCUUUGCUAAUUUGAAUGCCUUUUGUUUCUUUUGUUGUCUAAUUGCUGAGGCUAGGACUUCUAGCACUGUUCUGACUAACAGUGGUGAGAGUGGCCAUCCCUGGCGUGUUUCUGAUCUUAGGGGAAAGGCUGUCAGUUUUUCUCAAUUGAGAAUGAUAUUCGCUGUGGGCUUUUCAAAAAUGGCUUUCGCGAUAUUGAGGAAUGCUCCCUCUAUCCUGCACUUUGAGGAGUUUUGAUCAGGAAUGGAUGCUGUAUUUUGUCAGAUACUUUCUCUGCAUCUAUUGAGAGGAUCAUACCGUUCUUGUUUUUUCUCUUGUUGAUGUGAUCUAACACGUUGAUUGUUUUAUGAGUGCUGAACCAGCCUUGCAUCCCUGGAAUGAAUCCCACUUGGUCAUGGUGAAUAAUCUUCUUAAUGCACUGUUGGAUCCUAUUGGCUAGUAUCUUCGUGAGAAUUUUUGCAUUUGUGUUCAUCAGGGAUAUUGGUCUAUAAUUCUCCUUUUUUUGUGGGGUCCUUGUCUGGUUUUGGAAUCAAGGUAAUGCUGGCCUCAUAGAACAAGUUUGGAAGUAUUCUGUCCCUUUCUGUCCUUUGGAACAGCUUUAGUAGAAUAGGUAUUAUUUCUUCUUAAAACGUCUGAUAGAAUUCCCCUGGGAAGCCCUCUGGCCCUCUGUCUUGGGAGGUGUUGGAUGACUGCCUCAAUUUCCUUGCUGGUUAUUGGCCUGUUCAGGUUUCCUAUUUCUUCCUGUUCCAGUUUUGUUAAUUUGUGAUUUUCCAGAAAUGCAUCCAUUUCUUCUAGAUUGCCUAAUUUGUUGACAUAUAGAUGCUGAUAAUACGUUUUUCAAAUGGUUUGUACUUCCUUGGUAUUGGUUGUGAUCUCUCCUCUUUCAUUCAUGAUUUUAAUAAUUUGAGUCUUUUCUCUUUUCUUUUUAAUAAGGCUGGCUAAUGGUUUAUGUAUCUUAUUAAUUCUUUCAAAGAACCAACUCCUAGUUUUGUUGAUCUGUUCUACAGUUCUUCUGGUCUCUAUUUCAUUAGUUCUGAUUGAAUCUUUAUUAUUUCUCUUCUUGUGCUUGGUGUAGAUUUUACUUGCUGUUCUUUCUCCAAUUCCUUUAGGUGUGAGGUUAGCUUUAGGUGAUUUGAGUUUUUUCCAUUUUUUUUUUGAGAGAGGCUUGUAUUGCAAUGUAUUUCCCUCUCAGGACCAUUUUUGCUGUAUCUCAAAGAUUUUGAAUAGUUGUAUCUUCAUUUUCAUUAGUUUCCAUGAAUCUUUUUAAUUCUUCUCUAAUUUCCUGGUUGACCCAUUCAUCUUUUAGCAGGAUACACUUUAACCUCCACGUGUUUGAGAUUCUUCCAAAUUUCUUCUUGUGACUGAGUUCUAGUUUCAAAGCAUUGUGGUUUGAAAAUAUGCAAGGGACAAUCCCAAUCUUUUGGUAUCAGUUGAUACCUGAUUUGUGACCCAGAAUGUGGUCUAUUCUGGAGAAAGUUCCAUGUGCACUUGAGAAGAGAGAAGAGUGUGUAUUCAGUUGCAUUCAGAUAGAGAGUUCUGUAUAUAUAUAUGAAAUCUAUUUGGCCCAGUGUAUCAUUUAAGGCCCUUGUUUCUUUGGUGAUGUUCUGCUUAGAAGAUCUGUCAUUUGCAGAAAAUGCUGUGUUGAAGUCUCCUACUAUUAGUGUAUUAUUAUCUAAGCAUGUCUUUAUUUUAGUUAUUAAUUCAUUGAUAUACUUGACAGCUCCCACAUUAAGGGCAUAAAUAUUCAUGAUUGUUAAGUCUUCUUGUUGGAUAGACCCUUUAAGUAUGACAUACUGCCCCUCUUCAUCUCUUACUACAGUCUUUGGGAUAAACUGAUUUAUCUGAUAUGAGGAUUGCAAUCCCAGCUUUCUUUUGAGGACCAUUUGAAUGAUAAAUGGUUCUCCAUCCCUUCAUUUUCAGGCUGGAGGUGUUCUUGGGUCUAAAAUGAGUCUCUUGUAGACAGCAAAUCAAUGAGUCUUGCUUUUUUAUCCAAUCUGCUGAUGCCCUGCAUAUUUUGAUGGGAUCAUUUAGCCCAUUCAUGUUCAGAGUAACUGUUGAAAGAUAUGAAUUCAGUGUCACAUAUUACCUAUUUAGUCCCUGUUUCUGUGGCUUAUUUCUUUGGGCUUCCUCUUUCUUUUACGGGGUCCCCCUUAAUAUUUCUUGCAGAACCAGUUCGAUGGUCACAUAUUCUUUCAAUUUCUGCCUAUCCUGAAAGCUCUUUAUUUCUUCUUCUAUUCUGAAUGACAGCCUUGCAGGAUAAAGUAUUCUUGGCUGCAUGUUCUUCUCAUAUACAACCCUGUAUAUAUCAUGCCAGCCCUUUCUGGCCUGCCAGGUCUCUGUGGAGAGGUCUGCUGUUAAUCUGAUAUUUUCCCCACAUAAGUUAAGAAUCUCUUGUCUCACGCUGCUUUAAGAAUUUUCUCUUUAUCUUUGAAAUGUGCAAGUUUCAUUAUUGAGUAUCGAGAUGUUGAAUGGAUUUUAUUGAUGGGAGGGGGGGCUUCUAUAUCUCUUGGUUCUGAAUGCCUGUUUCCUUCCCCAGAUUUGGGAAGUUCUCAGCUAUGAUUUGUUCAAAUAUAUUUAUGGGUCUCUCCCUGUCUCAGCCUCUUCUGGAACCCCAAUCACACAUAAAUUCUUCCUUCUCAGGCUAUUAUUUAUUUCCCUAAUCCUUUCCUCGUGGGCUCUUAAUUGUUUUUCUCUUUUUUCCUCAGCUUCCUUCCUUACCAUCAACUUGUCUUCUAUGUCAUUCACUCUCUCCUCCACCUCAUUAAUCUUAGCAGUUAGGACGUCCAGUUUGGAUUGCAUCUCAUUUAAUCUGUUUUUAAUUUCAGCCUGAUUAGAUCUCAAUUCUUCAGUAAUGAAGUCUCUAGAGUCCCUUAUGCUUUUUUCCAGAGCUACCAGUAGCUUUAUAAUUGUACUUCUGAAUUGAAUUUCUGACAUCGUGUCAAUCCAAAUUCUGUAACUCUGUGGCAGACAGUAUUGUUUCUGGUUCUUUUAUGGUGAGUUCUUCCUUCUAGUCAUUUUGUCCAGUGCAGAGUGGCUGUAUGAGUGGUCUGAGUCAAAAAUAUCAACCAUGACCUAAGUAAAAUACACCUUAGAUGAUUCUGAAGAGGUCAGAGACCAGAAAAUAAAAGAAAAAGAAGAACAGAACAAAAUAAAAGGACCACUAAAGUGAAGAACAAAUUUUAAAACAAAGUAGUAAAAAUAAAAACCCAAAUACCAAAAA
rnacentral:lncRNA from 1 species